GUCAAUUAGAAGAUUUGAACAGUCAUCACAAUUCCACUUCGUCUCCCACGAUUCUCAUGGUAGCUAGGGUUUCUCCAUAGGAGAUUUGAACAGACGGCGACGACGUCGCCUAUCCAGGUAGGUUUUCGAUGGUUUUCCAUGAAACUCCGAUGACAUGUUCGAUAAUCGCCAGCGACUUGUUCGAAAAAUCGCCAGCAACUUCUCUCUGAUAUUUCUCUGAUUUUUCCGUUUCGAUUUACUCCUAUUAACCGUGUUUCAACUCCGACUCGUUUCUGAACAACCGGAGACGAAGGCUAGGGUUUCUCUUUCGUCUGCCAUUAUUUCUGAUUGUUCACUGAAGCUUUUUUUUUGUUAUUUAUGUUUCAAUUUUCGAUUGUUCGGCGAUUUGUUCAUAAAAGUUCCUGCUUGAAGACGCUGAAUCUGCUGAAAUCAAACGGGUAAAGCAAUGGUUUAUGAGUUUUGUUCCAAUUUCUUUAGAGUUUUUUGGUUGAAAGAGAACAUGUUUUUGAUUUCAGAUUCUCAAUUAAUGGUUUCCGGUUGUUCGCUGAAUCAUUUUUUUGUUUUAUUUUUUCGUUGUUGUUGUUCAACAAUUUCGAAUUAGGAUUCAUUCUUGAAGACGCCGAUUAUGCUGAAAUCGAAUAGGUUAGCAAAAUGGUUUCUGCGUUUUUGUUCGAAGUUCUUUUGGGCUUUUGGUUUGAAAUGGAACAAGAAUUAAUUUCGAUUAUGGUAGUGUUCGGCGUUGGUUGUUUAUCAGAGAUACGCUGAAAAUAAUGGUGGUUUGAACAUCUGAACAGAUGAUCAGUGCAGCGCUGGCUGGGAAGGAUGCGUCGGCCGUUGUCGGCGUUUUCACCGGAGAAGGAAGCGUGUGUGAGUGCCUGCGUCUGCAAUGUGGUUUAUGGUCAGCUACAACCGCUUAUGUAAGAAUGCAGAAGAAAGUUGAUGCAGAUGAGAUCAUUGAGAUGGGCACUGAAGCUGAUCAUUAUGGAUUCAAGUUGGUCACUUCAUCUAUAGAAAAGAAAGACGUACUGAAGAUUGAGAAAGCAAAGGAAUCCAAGUUGAGGAUGUAGUGCACAACCAUAUAUUUCUUUUUUCGUAUUUGAAGACGAGUUGCCGACGCCGCCAUGCACAAGUCGUAAAGCUUCAAUUACAUGCAAGGGCCCCGUGCUGGCCUGCUGAUGAAAGAUGUCUGAUGUUUAAACACCUUAGAUUGUGAUGUGGGUAUCACUAUAAUUGUUGAUUUGGAAUGAAGGAAGCAAGAAUGUUAAUUGCAAGUAUUGUGCUUGCCUCGUUUCUUCUUCUCUUUUAUGAACCAAUUGGCUUGGGUGUUUGGUGAAAUCCCAAGCUUGGAUUCUUUUCAUCGAAAUUAGGGGAAUUAUUUGGAUUUUCAUCUGAAUUUCUGUUCAUUAGAAUUAUGUUUUGUUCAUUAAGAAAGUGUAAUCUAAUCAUUUAAAA